rnacentral:rRNA from 1 species
UGCGAAGGUAGCAUAAUAAUUUGUCUUAUAAUUAAAGAAUGGAAUGAAUGGUUUGACUAGGGUAUAGCCGUCUCUUAUAUAUUUUUUAAAAGUUAAUUUUUAAGUUAAAAGGCUUAAAUUGGAUUAAAAGACGAGAAGACCCUAUUGAGCUUAAUAAAGAAUAUAAUUAAUUACAAUUAUAAUAUAAAUAAAAAUUAGUAUUGAAAUUUUGGUUGGGGCGACUGAGGAAUAAAGAAAGCUUCCUUAAUAAAUUGAGAAAGAUAUUUUUAUAUCCAAAGAAUUUUGAAUUGAAAACAAGUUACCAUAGGGAUAACAGCGUUAUUUUUUUUGAGAGUUCUAAUCGAAAAAAAAGUUUGCGACCUCGAUGUUGGAUUAGGAGUAAGGUAAGGUUGCAGAAGCUUUAUAUAUUUAGUCUGUUCGACUAUUAAUUUCCU